GAAAUGGGAUCUUGCUAUGUUGCCCAGGCUGGACUUGAACUCCUAGUCUCAAGUGAUCUUCCCACUUUGGCCUCCCAAAGUGGUAGGUUUAUAGGUGUGAGUCACCAUUUCCAGCCCAGAGAUUUUUGGUUUAAUAUAAUACCGUUUGUUUAUUUUUGUUUUUGUUGCUUGUGCUUUUGAGAUCUUGGACAUAAAAGCUUUGUCUAGACCAAUGUCUUAAAGUGUUUUCCCUGUGUUUUCUUCUAAUAGCUUUAUGUCGGGGACCAGCCCUGACACAGACCGUGAGGGUCGCAAGGGACGGCAGAGACAAAGAAAUGAGAAAGACGAGUGCAUAAAGUGGGGAUCAGGGGCCAACGCAAGUAUGGAGGCUGCGAAGGCCCCGAGCUCUGGAGACCCACACCAUUUAUUCGUACAGGACACAAAGCAAGAAUGUGAUAGGCGUGUGAGGGGAGAUAAAGGAAUGGUGGUCAGGCAGGUGAUCUGUAGCUAGGGCCAUUUGGCAUUUCCUUUGAGGCAUAGAGAACAAAUUGUAUUCUAGAUUAAAUCAUUAAAAAAGCUAGAGGGGCCAUAGAUAGGAGUCAGCAAGUCUGGUCGCAUUCUUGUGCUUCAAAGAGGCAAUCCUCCCUUGAGCACAAAGCAUGUGUUCUAUAAGCACUUUCUUUCUGAUCCAGAUAAGCAGGUUAUGCCACAACAUUCCUUCUAGCAGUUUUAUAGUUUUAGGUCUUAUGUUUAAGUCUUUAAGGCAUUUGUGUUGAUGUUUGUACUUAGUGAGAGCUUUCUGUCUGUGGAUGUCUAACUCUUUUGCUAGACUUGGGUUGUUUUCAGCUAUAUUUUGUUAAGUAGUUUUUUUUUUUUUUCACUGUGGUUUUUCUUCACCUUCUGUGACAACAAAAAUUCAAAUAUUUGGUUACUUUAUGGUGUUCUGUAUGUCAUGUAAGCUUGUUUAUUCUUUUUCACUGCUUUUUCAUUUUCUUUGUGAUUGCAUUGUUUCAAAGGACCUGUCUUCAAGUUCUGAAAUUCUUUGUUCUGUUUGGUCCAGUUUAUUGUUGAAGCUCUUAAAUUUAUUUUAAAAUUUCAUUCAGUGAAUUCUUUAGUUCCAGUAUUUCUGUUUGAUUCUUUU